rnacentral:ncRNA from 2 species
GGAAUCUACUAGGGGCGCGAGUGUUCGCUGAGAUAAGGAAAUAAAUUCCUUGGUCCCUUAACACCUGAUCUGGAUCAUGCCAGCGGAGGGAAGUAGUAAGCAGCCCCA